GGAACAUCAUGGUGGGGGGGCAGAAAUAUUUUGAGAGCUGAAGCAAUAGAAAGCCUCCUGUGAGAUUGUGUCUCAUCAAAAUGUCAGAGAGAGCUUGGAUCAGGUUGGGGUGGCCUGAUCUCUUCAGGCUGUGAAACGUGUCUCCCUGGAGUAGGUGGCCACAAUAUACCACUGCAGUCUCUUCUCUGGAGUCUUUUCAGCGAUGAAAAUGGAGUGUUUAGAAAGAAAACCAACAAGAAGUUUAAGAGAUGAAAGCAUGUCAAAAACAAAAAAAUACAAGAUACAUAAUACGUAGAGCACGUGGGAGGAUUAUGGCUUCUUUAAGGCCUCUGUUCUCAACUAAUAGUGGUACUGAUGAUUUUGACACUGAAAGUAACCAUAGGGGGGUAGUGACAAUCAUGGCAGUAAUUGUCAUUCUUUAGUGCAAAGACAAGUACAAUCCAAAUCUUUAGAUUUAUUGAGAACAUUAAGAGUCACACAAUCUGAAGAGUCUUAACAGAACUCUCAAAACUAACAUGCCUUUUUUCAAAAAUACACGAAAGAAUUGUAAGGAUUGCAUGUCAGGAGAAAUGGUAGAGCCAAGGGUCUGCAUGCCCUCUCUCUCAGAUCCACUUUCUUUGUCUUCACCACCAUUCUCACAGUGGCCUACUGCAAUGCAUACUGUUUUCCUAAUCCAUGAAGUCAGAAAACUGAGUCUUUAAGAGGCUCUGUAACUUACCUAAGUUUGUACAUAUCUGUUCAGCAUAUAAAUAGUUUAUUGUGUUCUAUGGGAAAGGAUCCAAAUUAGUUUGAGUAAUCUGUGCCGUGUGGACAUUGGUUUGAAAGGCAGUGACAGAGUCAGCUUAUCCUGCCUUAAAAGCAUCUUGCCAUUCCAACCAUCCACAAUGUAAAAGAAACACAAUGUAAAAAAAAUCAAUGCAAGAUACUUUAAUAUAUGUCUCACAAAACAAACAUUAAAUAUGACAAUAUUCAUUCUCUUUGUGGUUUUCCUAUACAGUCUUAGAUAAAAUGAAAACUGGGAGUAAUAAGACAGAACAUUUAGUUUUCCAUUGAGUGAGGAAGGAGGAGAUGAAGCAGGGAACUAUAAUCAUUAUAUAAAAUGAAUAAAUUGUAAAAAAUAAAAAUAAA